rnacentral:rRNA from 1 species
AUUGAACGCUGGCGGCAUGCCUUACACAUGCAAGUCGAACGGUAACAGGUUAAGCUGACGAGUGGCGAACGGGUGAGUAAUGUAUCGGAACGUGCCCAGUCGUGGGGGAUAACUACUCGAAAGAGUGGCUAAUACCGCAUACGACCUGAGGGUGAAAGCGGGGGACCGUAAGGCCUCGCGCGAUUGGAGCGGCCGAUAUCAGAUUAGCUAUUUGGUGGGGUAAAAGCCCACCAAGGCGACGAUCGGUAGCUGGUCUGAGAGGACGACCAGCCACACUGGGACUGAGACACGGCCCAGACUCCUACGGGAGGCAGCAGUGGGGAAUUUUGGACAAUGGACGCAAGUCUGAUCCAGCCAUGCCGCGUGCGGGAAGAAGGCCUUCGGGUUGUAAACCGCUUUUGUCAGGGAAGAAACGAGUUUCUCUAAUACAGAGACUUAAUGACGGUACCUGAAGAAUAAGCACCGGCUAACUACGUGCCAGCCGCCGCAGUAAUAC